rnacentral:tRNA from 1 species
GGAGAUGACUCAGUGGUAGAGUACUUGCCUUGCAUGUGGAAGGACCUGGAUUUGAUUUCCAGCUCCG